UUUGCGGUUGCUUUGUCUUGUUUCGUUCGUGACUACUGUCACCCCAGCAAGUUCUGUUUUCUUGGUGAACCCUGAAACAGGCACCCAGGAAAAAAAAAUGUAAAGUCUGUUUGAAGGGACACCAGCUUUCAUCAUGAUCUCUGGAAGAGCUGGAAGGCUCUCCAAGUGGACUGAAGAUCACCCCGGAGGCUAGCGAUGGAGCUCAGGCUUUCCACUCAACAACUCCAUGCCACGGUUCCUGGAGUGGUGCAAAGAGGAAAGAAAUGCAGAAACCAGCAGAAGGAAACAGGAAGUGAUGGGCUGAGCUCCCAGCCACCGUGUGAGAAAGGACAAGGCUCAAAAGCAACAGGGCCAAGCAUCCAUGGAGCCAAAAUAAAGUUAAUUCUCAAAAGCUGACUUCCUACAGUAGUCCGUCAGAAGGACCGGAAGUUGCUAACACAACCUCCACUGAGAGUCGUUGUGUGCUGUUUCUGUUCCCACCCAUCACUGGUUUUACCCAGUCCCACUCAACUCACAAAGUUCCAGUGAGAUGAGACUUACCAACACGUGAUAAAGACACACGCUCCCGGUCUCUGCUGUCAUGUGUUCCUGCCCUUCAGUCGGUAUAUCUGGCAGUGGGAUUAGGCGUGCGUGCCACUCCAACAUCGUCUCCCCUUUAAGUAAUUCAGAGAUCCUAUAGAUGAGAACGUCAAGAUGUGAAGUUUACUUGAUGUUUGAACUUUCGUUUUUCAACUCUCUAAAGAAAAAUAAAGACAGUCUUUUCAUGAUU
rnacentral:lncRNA from 1 species